AGUGAACGCUGGCGGCAGGCCUAACACAUGCAAGUCGAACGGCAGUACAGGAGAGCUUGCUCUCUGGGUGGCGAGUGGCGGACGGGUGAGGAAUACAUCGGAAUCUGCCCAGUCGUGGGGGAUAACGUAGGGAAACUUACGCUAAUACCGCAUACGACCUUCGGGUGAAAGAGGGGGAUCGCAAGACCUCUCGCGAUUGGAUGAGCCGAUGUCGGAUUAGCUAGUUGGCGGGGUAAUGGCCCACCAAGGCGACGAUCCGUAGCUGGUCUGAGAGGAUGAUCAGCCACACUGGAACUGAGACACGGUCCAGACUCCUACGGGAGGCAGCAGUGGGGAAUAUUGGACAAUGGGCGCAAGCCUGAUCCAGCCAUACCGCGUGGGUGAAGAAGGCCUUCGGGUUGUAAAGCCCUUUUGUUGGGAAAGAAAUCUUUCAGGCUAAUACCCUGGGAGGAUGACGGUACCCAAAGAAUAAGCACCGGCUAACUUCGUG
rnacentral:rRNA from 1 species